AAUGAACGCUGGCGGCGUGCCUAACACAUGCAAGUCGGAUGUGCCGCAAGGUGCAUGGCAGACGGGUGAGUAACGCGUAGGGAAUCUACCUUUUUGUGGGGAAUAACGCUCCGAAAGGAGUGGUAAUACCGCAUGAGACCGUGAGCUGGGAUGUUCACGGUGAAACCUGGGGACCGCAAGGCCUGGGGCAACAAGAGGAUCCUGCGUCUGAUUAGCUAGUUGGCGGGGUAAUGGCCCACCAAGGCGACGAUCAGUAGCCGGCCUGAGAGGGUGAUCGGCCACACUGGAACUGAGACACGGUCCAGACUCCUACGGGAGGCAGCAGUGGGGAAUUUUGCGCAAUGGACGAAAGUCUGACGCAGCAACGCCGCGUGGGUGAUGAAGGUCUUCGGACUGUAAAACCCUGUCGUCAGGGACGAAGGUGGCAGUGUUAAUAGCGCUGUUACUUGACGGUACCUGGAGAGGAAGCCCCGGCUAACUCUGUG
rnacentral:rRNA from 1 species